rnacentral:rRNA from 1 species
GAUGAACGCUGGCGGCGUGCCUAAUACAUGCAAGUCGAGCGAACAGACGAGGAGCUUGCUCCUCUGACGUUAGCGGCGGACGGGUGAGUAACACGUGGAUAACCUACCUAUAAGACUGGGAUAACUUCGGGAAACCGGAGCUAAUACCGGAUAAUAUAUUGAACCGCAUGGUUCAAUAGUGAAAGACGGUUUUGCUGUCACUUAUAGAUGGAUCCGCGCCGCAUUAGCUAGUUGGUAAGGUAACGGCUUACCAAGGCAACGAUGCAUAGCCGACCUGAGAGGGUGAUCGGCCACACUGGAACUGAGACACGGUCCAGACUCCUACGGGAGGCAGCAGUAGGGAAUCUUCCGCAAUGGGCGAAAGCCUGACGGAGCAACGCCGCGUGAGUGAUGAAGGUCUUCGGAUCGUAAAACUCUGUUAUUAGGGAAGAACAAAUGUGUAAGUAACUAUGCACGUCUUGACGGUACCUAAUCAGAAGGCCACGGCUAACUACGUG